rnacentral:rRNA from 1 species
UACGGAGGAUCCAAGCGUUAUCCGGAUUUACUGGGUUUAAAGGGUGCGUAGGCGGAAGCUUAAGUCAGUGGUGAAAUCUCAUCGCUUAACGAUGAAACUGCCAUUGAUACUGGGCAUCUUGAAUAUGGUUAACGUUGGCGGAAUGUGUCAUGUAGUGGUGAAAUACUUAGAUAUGACACAGAACACCGAUAGCGAAGGCAGCUAACGGAGCCAUUAUUGACGCUGAGGCACGAAAGCGUGGGGAUCAAACAGG